rnacentral:rRNA from 1 species
GACGAACGCUGUUGGCGUGCCUAACACAUGCAAGUCGAGCGAAGUGAGUACUACGGUACGAACUUAGCGGCGGACGGGUGAGUAACGCGUGGACAAUCUACCCUGUAGACUGGGAUAACACCUCGAAAGGGGUGCUAAUACCGGAUAAUGUCGAGAAGCGGCAUCGCUUUUCGAAGAAAGGAGAGAAUCCGCUAUAGGAGGAGUCCGCGUCCCAUUAGCUAGUUGGUGAGGGUAACGGCCCACCAAGGCGACGAUGGGUAGCCGGCCUGAGAGGGUGAACGGCCACACUGGAACUUAGACACGGUCCAGACUCCUACGGGAGGCAGCAGUGGGGAAUAUUGUGCAAUGGGGGAAACCCUGACACAGCAACGCCGCGUGAGCGAAGAAGGCCUUCGGGUUGUAAAGCUCAAUAGUAUGGGAAGAUAAUGACGGUACCAUACGAAAGCCCCGGCUAACUACGUGCCAGCAGCCGCUGUAACAC